UUGGAGGGCAAGUCUGGUGCCAGCAGCCGCGGUAAUUCCAGCUCCAAUAGCGUAUAUUAAAGUUGUUGCAGUUAAAAAGCUCGUAGUUGAAUUUCGGGAUUGACACGUCGGUCGUGCCUUAAGGGGUAUGAACUGGCGUAGUCAAUUUCUCACCUUCUGGAGAACCGCGAUGUCCUUAAUUGGGUGCCGCGAGGAACCAGGACCUUUACUUUGAAAAAAUUAGAGUGUUUAAAGCAGGCAUUUUGCUUGAAUACAUUAGCAUGGAAUAAUAAAAUAGGACGGCAUGAUUCUAUUUUGUUGGUUUCUAGGAUCACCGUAAUGAUUAAUAGGGAUAGUUGGGGGCAUUAGUAUUCAAUCGUCAGAGGUGAAAUUCUUGGAUUUAUUGAAGACUAACUACUGCGAAAGCAUUUGCCAAGGAUGUUUUCAUUAAUCAAGAACGAAAGUUAGGGGAUCGAAGACGAUCAGAUACCGUCGUAGUCUUAACCAUAAACUAUGCCGACUAGGAAUCAGACGAUGUUAAUUUUUUAAUGACUCGUUUGGCACCUUACGGGAAACCAAAGUGUUUGGGUUC
rnacentral:rRNA from 1 species